rnacentral:rRNA from 1 species
UACAGAGGGUGCGAGCGUUAAUCGGAAUUACUGGGCGUAAAGCGUGCGCAGGCGGUUUUGUAAGUCUGUCGUGAAAUCCCCGGGCUUAACCUGGGAAUGGCGAUGGUGACUGCAAGGCUAGAGUUUGGCAGAGGGGGGUAGAAUUCCACGUGUAGCAGUGAAAUGCGUAGAGAUGUGGAGGAACACCGAUGGCGAAGGCAGCCCCCUGGGUCAAAACUGACGCUCAUGCACGAAAGCGUGGGGAGCAAACAGG